UACAGAGGUCUCAAGCGUUGUUCGGAUUCAUUGGGCGUAAAGGGCGCGUAGGCUGCGGGGCAAGUCGGGUGUGAAAUCUCAGAGCUUCAACUCUGAAACUGCACUCGAUACUGCUUUGCUUGAGGACUGGAGAGGAGAUUGGAAUUCACGGUGUAGCAGUGAAAUGCGUAGAUAUCGUGAGGAAGACCAGGUGGUCGAAGGCGGGU
rnacentral:rRNA from 1 species